CCUACGGGGAGGCAGCAGUGGGGAAUAUUGGACAAUGGGGGAAACCCUGAUCCAGCGACGCCGCGUGAGUGAAGAAGUACUUCGGUAUGUAAAGCUCUAUCAGCAGGAAAGAAAAUGACGGUACCUGACUAAGAAGCCCCUGCUAACUACGUGCCAGCAGCCGCGGUAAUACGUAGGGGGCAAGCGAUAUCCGGGUUUACUGGGUGUAAAGGGAGCGUUGACGGUAGGGCAAGUCUGGGGUGAAAUGUCGGGGCACAACCCCGAAACUGCUGUUGAAACUGGGAAGCUUGAGUGCAGGAGAGGUAAGCGGAAUUCGUGGUGUAGCGGUGAAAUGCGUAGAUAUCAGGAAGAACACCGACGGCGAAGGCAGCUUACUGGACUGUAACUGACGUUGAGGCUCGAAGGCGUGGGGAGCAAACAGGAUUAGAUACCCCUGUAGUC
rnacentral:rRNA from 1 species